rnacentral:rRNA from 1 species
UGGGGAAUAUUGCACAAUGGGCGCAAGCCUGAUGCAGCAACGCCGCGUGAGGGACGACGGCCUUCGGGUUGUAAACCUCUUUUAGUAGGGAAGAAGCGAAAGUGACGGUACCUGCAGAAAAAGCACCGGCUAACUACGUGCCAGCAGCCGCGGUAAUACGUAGGGUGCGAGCGUUGUCCGGAAUUAUUGGGCGUAAAGAGCUCGUAGGCGGUCUGUCGCGUCUGCUGUGAAAACCCGAGGCUCAACCUCGGGCCUGCGAGUGGGUACGGGCAGACUAGAGUGCGGUAGGGGAGAAUGGAAUUCCUGGUGUAGCGGUGGAAUGCGCAGAUAUCAGGAGGAACACCGAUGGCGAAGGCAGUUCUCUGGGCCGUAACUGACGCUGAGGAGCGAAAGCGUGGGGAGCGAACAGGAUUAGAUACCCUGGUAGUCCACGCCGUAAACGUUGGGCGCUAGAUGUGGGGACCAUUCCAC